UCCUGCAGCUUCUCCCUGGGGAGGAGCUAGAGGAUGUUGUUGAGUUAUAGCUUCUCCUGAGGGACCGUCAAACCCUGAGACCAGCUGGGGGAUGUGUUUUCCUUCUAGAGAAGUCUAGUCUGCCACAGGGUCUCCUUCCAGUCAGCCAUGCCCUGCACACCUCCAGAGGGAGCCACCUUUGGGAUUUGCUACCAUGUGUAGCCUCUUAAUGCAGAGGAGCAGUGGUUGAUAACCUCUCAACUCUUGAUUGGCUCCGGGAUUUCACCUUACAUUUGUAAUGUAAAUGUAAGACCAUCAUACUGUAUGAUAUGUUUUUUUUGUGUCUGCACUGUGACAUGAAAUCAAAAUAUCAAAGAUAUUUUCUGCAUCUUUUUAAAAAUAUUUCCUCAAACCUCAACAAUUCCAAUAUCUUUGAUGAUAUAAGGAUCUUGUGAAAUGCACUUUUUGGCUUUCUUGACCACCUACACCUACUGAGAGCGACUUGUCUGAGUGUCUGAAGACUGCCUGGCAACCAUGCAGUGAUGAUGAGAAAUUCUCUGCUCCUGGCCAAGAUAUUGUCUUGCCCCAUAACCUCUAUGUGGAAAAACCAGUGAGCUUUAGAGGUCUCAGUAGGUGGAUGUUGUUACCUUUGGGCAGGCCAGGCUAACUUGUUCCCCCUGUUUCCCGUCUUACCGGCUGCUGGCUAUAGCUACAUAUUUAACAAACAGAUAUAAGACUGGUAUUUUAUUUUCUCAUGUAACUCCCUAGCCUUCCAAAAUGGCAAACUAUUCCUUUAAACAUGGUCCUUCAAUAGUAGGUUGUAAAUAUGGGCCUGAUAGUAAGUCUGACAAAGUUCAAAAGGAUAAAGUGUCCUGUGGUUAAAAAUAAACUACUACGAGUGGUGAAAUGAACUAAAGCUCUUAGACAAACACAUAUCUGCAGCAAACAUUUUGGUUAUUAAAUGCUGACAGUCCAACAGUCUGUGGACAUCAGCAGGGGACCGUGGCCAGGCACAUGGUUGUGCUCGAUGCCCUGAAACAUACUGGGACCUGUUGACCUCUGUUGAAAAAGAGCAGAGAGGUAGCGGAGAUUGGGAUCUGACUGACGAGAUCUGGAGAUGUGAUGAGUUUCUGAGUUGUCGAUGCGAGAGCACACGGGUGCUGAGGAAUACGGAAUACUCAGAGAUGUGCAGCGGCGGCGACGGCUCGAGGCUGUGUUCAACUCUCAUAAAUCAACUAAAGUGAAUCAGAGAGGCAUAUUUAACACUGAAAGAAUGUACCAAGAACAAAAAGUUGACUUGGCUGACCAUCGCUGCCUCUUAAGGUCGGCAGAAGCUGGAAACCAUACUGAGCUCCAAAUAUAACACUGCUCUUUUACUUUGCCACAUUCAGUUGCAUUCACAUAAACCAAAUUAAACAAGAAAAACCUGCCUUCCUCCAGUACACAAUCAAUACAUUUUAAAGAGCCAUCUGAGAACUGACAAGCAUCUAACAAAACACGACCCACAUGCUCUCUGAAAAAGACAGCUGUGACUGCAGUGUUCUUCAAAUGGGUUUUCACUAACCACUUAUCAAACAUGUAUGUAAAACUUUAUAUCAGGCUACUGGUAAAGCAAACAAUAUAUGUAUGUUACUAGAUGAUGGGAGAUACUUGGAAUGUGAUUUACUUUGUUUUUUUUUUUAAAUGUGUGGAAAGUGAAGAGAUGGAUGAGUGUACUAAGUGUUUUCAGAAACAAACUGCUAUAUGUAUAAUACAGAAGACUGAAAUAAAUAAGUAGAUCAAUUAAAUAAACCAAUAUGCCAUCAAGUGCACCAAGAAUAAUAUUAAAAAUUAAUACAGCCAUUAAUUAAUACAAUGUGACUGAUGUUUCUGUUUUAAUUUGCCUCUGUAUUAAUUUCCCUAUUUAUUUAUUUUCCCAAUCAAAAUUUCCAUUUUAUUUAUUUAUUUAUUCUCUUAUUUAUUCUUUAUCAAUCCACUUAUUACUUCCCAUUUCUUGAUGCAUUUCUGCUCCAAUACACAAAUGAGUGGGCUGUUAUUCCAAGUGUGUCAUGGGUUCAACUUUUCACCUAUUGGUUGAUCGACAUCAGAAUCAGAACGCAUAGAUCGACUGUACGUGCCUCGCUCCCCAGACCUGUGGCUGGGCUCACAACAGAUAUAGGUGCCUCCAGCCAGGAUUGUUAGACAGCUGAAGCACUUGGCUAAUUUGCCUGAAAACAACACCGGGUGUAAACCUAGUGCUUGGCCGGACCGUGUAUGGGUGUGAACCGUGUGCCUACGCCUCUUGUUGCAGGCAGUCGGGCAGUCACCCAGCUUCCCAGCUGCUCGGGAGUCCCAGGAAAGCGGAGUUGCACUUCUGAUGUGGCAUGUCGAAGGUAAACUUAAGUUCAGAGCUACUGUAAAUCUGCUCAUUAUAGUGUUUAGACCAAAGAUAUUACUGUUACCAAGGGCUGUCAUCUCAUAGAGCAGUCACGUACCACAUCAGUGAUAUACUGAGCGGGGCCUUUAUUUACCUAAACUUCUGAAGCCCCGUUGAGGGCUGUACUGCAUUUCAACACUCCACCACACAACACUACAUUAUACUACAGCAUGGUGAAAUGUAGCAGAGGAACGGCACUCCUCAAUUUUUGUGUUAUAAGCUAUUUGUGGUUUCUUUUAUUUUGUUUCAGCUCUCAAACCAAAUACAUAAACGCACAUUUUCAUGCUGAUAUCUUUGUUUUUGUACUAUAUAAUCAUUACAGAUAAUGAAUAUUAAAGAGCCUUAACAGUUACUGACACAGCAAAUUAAAUGUGAUGUUCUUUCAUGUCUUUUGCUUAUUGAUCUGAGCUAACCUUUGAUAUAUAAAUUUAAUAUUCAUUUUGAUCCUGUCUGCAUUUGAAACUGAUAAUGGCAGCUUGGCAAAGGAAAUGGUAAUUAAGGUAAUUAGUGCAAUUACUUUUUGAGCGACACCCUCUGAAUGUAGCGCACAGUUCGUCUGCUCCCUCUCAUAUCAAUCUUCAAUUUGAUCUAUUGACUGAACCUGCCACGUUUUCAUUAGGUAACAAAAGAGGCAGAUUUACUGCAGAAAGCUUCAUGUCAGGCAGAACUUGCCAAUUAAUUGCUAAACAUUAGUAAGUGAUUUCUUAACAUCUGCAGGAUUGUUGCGUGAUGUUUUCAGGCAUUAAGGGGGGCAGGCAGUUGAGCACUUCAGGGUAUUUUCUUUAGCCUCAGCACUAUUUAAUAAUUUCAGAAUUGAUGGUGGAAUCGUUUUAUGAAUGAAUUUGUCACGAUAAUGAGGAACAGCUCUUACACAGUCAAACAAAUGUAAAACAAAUCCAUAAUGACACAACAACAGGACGUGUGGUUUACAGGGACACUGCGGGUCUUUGGUAUAGUCUGUGAGAGUGGGAGUGUG